rnacentral:lncRNA from 1 species
GUUAUUGGCAGCCCAUUAGUGCUCAGGAGAGGCGGUCUCCAGCAUGACAUCAGCCCGCGGCUCGACCCAAAUCUAGUAUUUCACCAGAGAGCCUAACGCUGCUGGCUUUCCAACUGUGUGGAAGACGAUACAGGCGUAACAAAGACAAGGAUGAAAUAAGUCCUGUGAUGGAGAGACAAGCAAAAUUCUACCUGACUUCACAGGAGGAAGAAGUGUGCUGUGCCAGGGGAAACAGGAGAAAGCUUCAUGGAAGAGCGACAUUCACGAAAGAGACGAAGAGGACACGGUCAUCCGAGUGCCGAGGCGCGGAAGCGCGAACUGCCCGGAGCGACCUGGCUUGGCGCACAGACUCAUUUACCAAGCCCGAGAGGCGGCAGCAAUGCGUGUGCGGGAAAGGGAGCGGUUCUCAAAAUACAAAGUGAUAAAACAGCUUCCAGUUAUACUGGAAAACGAUGCAAACCCUCAAUUCCUUUUUUUUUUUUUUUUUUUGGACCUGGCCGGACCUGGCCGGACCUGGAAGUGCCGGUUAUAAACAAGAAUAAAAACUUGAAUUUAUUGGUGGAGGUCCUGUUAAAAGAGCCCAACACACGCAUAUGAGACAAACUGCAAGAAGCAAACAGUCUCCAUUCAGAGAGCAGGACCACACUCUCUGGGUUCUUGUUUAAGCAUUUGACGUGCACAUGAGACACCUAACAAAGCCUGAAACUAAAUUUAUUUUUCACUACAUCUCUCUGGUAUC